rnacentral:tRNA from 1 species
GUGUUAGUAGCUCAGUAGGAUAGAGCAACUGCCUUCUAAGCAGUAGGUCAGGGGUUCGAAUCCCUUCUAGCACACCA